UCCUCCUGGGUUGUGGAGCCCCUCCCUUUCCCCCUCACAGAAAAGUUUUACAUGGCUGAGGGUGAGUCUCGGUCGGACGAUUCCACCGACCUAUUGUUUGUUUUUCAGUAGAAAUUAGGUCUUUAAUUAAUGAAUGUGUGUGUGUGCCUACAUGUGUAGGUAAUGAUACUUGUUCAGUGUGUGCGUGCGUGCGUGCGUGCGUGUGCUUACGUGUGUAGGUAACAGUGUUAUUCUGUGUGUUUAGGCGUAAGCCAAAGAAAGUCGGGAUACCGACAUUGUCUGAUUGUCGCCCGCAGGUUUGUGGUUUUAUUUUAUUUUCUAAGGUGUUAAUUAUAGCAAAUGUUGCAUGUUUUGUUCCGUCACGGAAUGGCGCUUGGAAUGUACAUUUCAAUAUUUUACAGAUUGUUUGUAUCUGGCUUUUUCACUGUAAAUGGUUAAAAAUGUAUAUGUAGACAGAAAAGUUUUACAUGGCUGAGGGCGUAAGCCAAAGAAAGACGGGAUACCGACAUUGUCUGAUUGUCGCCCGCAGAUGCGGAGAGAUGACAUAGGGGACGUAGACAUUGUUGAUACCACAGAGGAAGGCAGUUCCGAUAAUCAUCAGGAUAAACAUGAAUCUAAAGACAACACAGCGUUCCCAGGGACUCGUGAGCAGGGAGGAUGUAGGCCAGCCUGGUGAAGCUCAUCAUGCUGGUGACCGCAAAGAGAACCUCUGCAAUCAGCUGGGGGUCCUCCUGACGCCAGUCGUUACGCACUGCCACACCAGAAGCAAAGACCUUAUUGGGGAAAGCCGCUUGAUGAUAUGCAGCCGUGCCUCCUCGGUUUCCUACCAGUCUGGGUGAAGUAGACACACUCCUCUGUGCAAUCAUCAUCCAGACAGAGGAAGUGUCCUUUAAGCAUGAUGACCAAACGCAAAGCGAAGGAGGCCAAGUACAUGCUGAGCACCAUCACGUCCAAGCAGUUCCACCAGUCCAGGAAGUAACUCCUCAGGCCCUCGAUCCACACUUCCUUGCACUCGAACCAAAAGAACCCUAGUGAGAUAGCACCCGACAUGAGUUGAUUAGAUCAACGGAGAGCAACGGCCCACCAGAGAGCAUGCACCCACCGACCACCCACACCAUGUGGAAGGAGCUGUGGAGGAUGUUCUGCUGCCUCGAAGCAAAUUUAUCCCGAUACAUCUCCAUGGUGAUGGAUUCACCGAGCAGCGUGAUGAGGAACCACAGAUAGGAGGCAGAGUGAAGGAGAAACUUGAUCACAGGGAUCCUGAGGAUCUUUCCUACCUAACACAAACAUGUAAUGCAACUUGUAUCAAUAUAUCUGUAAGGUCCUGAAAGGCACCUACAAAUAAAAUGUAUUAUUUCUAAACAAGUACCGUAGCUUACAAGCUUAAUUGGUUCUGUGAUAGAGCUCUUCACUCAAAACACUUCAGAAAUUAUUUCACCAUUCCUGAAGGUGUUAAAGAGUCAUUCGGCUUCAGUGUGGUGCACGCUAGCAGUGAUAUGCACAAAUUAUUUUGCCAAGUUGGCUACGCGCUCUGUCAUGUUUUUUUUUAAUGAUUUCUUUCUUUAAUUCAAUGAAUAUCACCCGCUUCUUCUUCUCAGCACUGUCCUUCACAUUCAAUUUCUUCCUUCCCACAAAGUUAUGUCCAUCUCUAGCUAUAAGUACAAAACCCAAAACUUGUGAAGAUGGCACGUUGUGUAAAUGGUAAAUAAAAACAGAAUACAAUGAUUUGCAAAUCCUUUUCAACCUAUAUUCAAUUGAAUAGACUGCAAAGACAAGAUACUUAAUGUUCAAACUGGAAAACUUUAUUUUUUGCAAAAAUUAGCUCAUUUGGAAUUUGAUGCCUGCAAAAUGUUUUAAAAAAGCUGGCACAAGUGGCAAA